UGAGCUUUAUAAGAGGUCCAGCCUGCCCAGUGACUCUGUUCAACGGCCGCGGUAUCCUAACCGUGCGAAGGUAGCGUAAUCACUUGUUCUUUAAAUGCGGACUAGUAUGAAUGGCACUACGAGGGUUACACUGUCUCCUUUCUCUAAUCAGUGAAACUAAUUUUCCCGUGAAGAAGCGGGAAUACGCCUAUAAGACGAGAAGACCCUAUGGAGCUUUAAACAAUCAGCAAUUACUCUUAAAAUCAAAAAUUUCAGAAUAUUCAUUUUUUUAAGUAACAUGACUGCAAGUUUUCGGUUGGGGUGACCAUGGAGAAUAACACAACCUCCACAUUGAACGAAUUUCAUUCUAAGCUAAAAAUGACCUAUUAAAGCAUCAACACACUGACAUCUAUUGACCCAAUAUAUUUGAUCAACGAACCAAGUUACCCUAGGGAUAACAGCGCAAUCCACUUCAAGAGCCCCUAUCGACAAGUGGGUUUACGACCUCGAUGUUGGAUCAGGGUAUCCCAGUGGCGCAGCCGCUACUAAAGGUUCGUUUGUUCAUCGAUUAAAACCCU
rnacentral:rRNA from 1 species